GGCUAACACAGGCGGCCCAGGCGGUGUGGGGCUGCGUGUUCCUUCGGCGCUGACUCCCCCAAAUCCCCCUCCUUUCCUCCCCCCCAGAUGUCUGCCCCGUUGCUCUCAAGGUAAUCUAGACAGACGCAGCUGAAAGCCUGAAUCUUAUGCCUUAGACAUCAAAGAAAGCUCGCACAAAGAAGUAUUUCUUCACAACGGUGAAUCUUCAUGGUCAAUGCCGCCCAGAGGAUCGGCUCGCUCCUCACUGUUGCCAAACCUUCUCAGGGUCGCUGUGUCGGUGAUGAGCGAACGUGGAGAGACACCUCGGGGUGCCCGGGGAGAGGGUGGGGAUCCCGAGAGAGAUCCCGACGGCACUGCGCUGCCAGCGGCCCCUGCCCCCUCUCUGCUGCCCCUCGGGAUACCUGCUUGAGCCCUCCCUGAAGCCAAACAAAAGCGCACAUCUCCCCCUUCCCCU